rnacentral:lncRNA from 1 species
GUAGGAAUGGUCCUUGGCGAGGGAGCUUCUCAAAAGAACAUCUCAGCCUGUCCUGCCCUCUCCUAACCCCCGGAGUUGAACUGCACUUGUUUAGUAUUUCAGUUCAUCUUUGCUGUGUUAACAAACCACCCUGAAACAUAAUAGGCUAAAACAAGACCAGGCUGGUCUCGAACUCCUGAUCUCAAGUGAUCUGCCCACCUCAGCCUCCCAAAGUACUGGGAUUACAGGCAUGAGCCACCACACUGGCCCCCAACCUGAUUUAAAAACAGGCCAAAAACCUUAACAGACACCUCACCACAGAAGAUAUACAGAAGGCAAAUAAAAUAAGCACGUGAAAAGAUGUCCCUCAUCUAUGUCACCAAGGAAAUUCAAAUUAAAACAAUGAAACCACUACACACCUGUUAGAAUGGCCCAAAUCCAGAACACUGACAACACC